GACGAACGCUGGCGGCGUGCUUAACACAUGCAAGUCGAACGAUGAACUACCAGCUUGCUGGUGGGGAUUAGUGGCGAACGGGUGAGUAACACGUGAGUAACCUGCCCUGGACUCUGGGAUAACCCCGAGAAAUCGGAGCUAAUACCGGAUAGGACCUUUCCCUGCAUGGGGUUUGGUGGAAAGUUUUUCGGUCUGGGAUGGACUCGCGGCCUAUCAGCUUGUUGGUGAGGUAAUGGCUCACCAAGGCGUCGACGGGUAGCCGGCCUGAGAGGGUGACCGGCCACACUGGGACUGAGACACGGCCCAGACUCCUACGGGAGGCAGCAGUGGGGAAUAUUGCACAAUGGGCGCAAGCCUGAUGCAGCAACGCCGCGUGCGGGAUGACGGCCUUCGGGUUGUAAACCGCUUUUAGUAGGGAAGAAGGGCUUCGGCUUGACGGUACCUGCAGAAAAAGGACCGGCUAACUACGUGCCAGCAGCCGCAGUAAAAC
rnacentral:rRNA from 1 species